GACGAACGCUGGCGGCGUGCUUAACACAUGCAAGUCGAACGGUGAAGCGCCUUCCUUUUUGGUGGGUGUGGAUGAGUGGCGAACGGGUGAGUAACACGUGAGUAACCUGCCCCCUUCUUCUGGAUAACCGCAUGAAAGUGUGGCUAAUACGGGAUAUUCUGGGUCUGUCGCAUGAUGGGUCUGGGAAAGAUAUUGUUUCGGUGGGGGAUGGGCUCGCGUGCUAUCAGCUUGUUGGUGGGGUGAUGGCCUACCAAGGCGGUGACGGGUAGCCGGCCUUAGAGGGGGGACGGGCACACUGGGACUGGGACACGGCCCAGACAGCUACGGGAGGCAGCAGUGGGGAAUAUUGCACAAUGGGGUCAAGACUGAUGCAGCGACGCCGCGUGAGAGAUGGAGGCCUUCGGGUUGUGAACCUCUUUCGCCAGUGAAGCAGGCCUGCCUCGUUUGUGGGUGGGUUGACGGUAGCUGGAGAAGAAGCGCCGGCCAACUACGUG
rnacentral:rRNA from 1 species